GGAGAGGUGGCUGAGUGGUUGAAAGUGGCGGUCUCGAAAACCGUUGUGCCGAAAGGCAUCUAGGGUUCGAAUCCCUACCUCUCCGCCA
rnacentral:tRNA from 1 species